AUUGAACGCUGGCGGCAUGCCUUACACAUGCAAGUCGAACGGCAGCACGGGUGCUUGCCCCUGGUGGCGAGUGGCGAACGGGUGAGUAAUACAUCGGAACAUGUCCUGUAGUGGGGGAUAGCCCGGCGAAAGCCGGAUUAAUACCGCAUACGAUCUACGGAUGACAGCGGGGGACCUUCGGGCCUCGCGCUAUAGGGUUGGCCGAUGGCUGAUUAGCUAGUUGGUGGGGUAAAGGCCUACCAAGGCGACGAUCAGUAGCUGGUCUGAGAGGACGACCAGCCACACUGGGACUGAGACACGGCCCAGACUCCUACGGGAGGCAGCAGUGGGGAAUUUUGGACAAUGGGCGAAAGCCUGAUCCAGCAAUGCCGCGUGUGUGAAGAAGGCCUUCGGGUUGUAAAGCACUUUUGUCCGGAAAGAAAUACUUGGCCCUAAUACGGUCGGGGGAUGACGGUACCGGAAGAAUAAGCACCGGCUAACUACGUG
rnacentral:rRNA from 1 species